CAUUUCGUAACGUGUCAACAGUUUUCUGUCAGUCUAUGAACGGAUAGGCGGAAAUUGUGGAUUUGUUCCGAUGAGUUCGUAGGUUUCGAAGCAUGUAUCCGACACAUGGAUAAAACAAAAUUUAAAGAUCGAUCUUCGUCAUUUUCAUCAUUUUCGUAACCUGAAACUAAUAAGAUUUACUAGGUUACCAUGACACCAAGUUAACGAACGCUCGAAGCAUAACAUUCCAACCGAGUUUCGUCGAUAUUCCCCAGAGUAAUUUUCUGCAAGGACAAAAGUGGUGUGCUAUGCCGGGGAACAUCUUCGUCAUUUCCGGGACGGUUAUACAAAGCCACGUGUAUCGAUCAGGUCAGGUCUCUCCUAUCUUUUACCGGGACUAGUAUUGGGGGUAGGGAAAACACGCCUAGCUGUAUGUGUACGCAGUCGAGGAUCGAAAAUCGAUCCAACCUGUCCGCUCUUAAUGAAACACGACGUAUCAAACGUCUUACGCGGACUUGGAAUUGAGUGCGACGGUAUUAUCGCUAUCAGCUUCAGGAUCCGAUAGAAAAACGCGAUAAAAUGUGACACGGACAUUGCAGAGGAAUUAUUAUGCGGUAGAAUUUUUAAUUGAAAAAAAAUGACAUCGGACAGUUUGAAUAAUACUACUGGCAAUCAUAAAAUAUAUAUAAAUUCAUCUUGCAAUCAUCUUAGACGAAUUCCAUUGAAAGAAAGAAGCGAGAGGAACAGCAAAGUCUAGAGGCGAACAAAAUGAAAGGAGAAAAAUAAGUGAUCUCGUUGGAUCUACUAUAUGUGCAGGACUCACCUGACGGGAAAACGCGACCACCCUCACCUUCGCGAACGUGUUACCUGAUUCAACGUACAACUGGCGUAUUCGAGGUGCCGGCAGUUCCUUUUAUAACAGCGGGACUUGACGGCCCUGCGCUGAACGCCACGCAGUCUCUGUGAGCCGACUACAGGAACGUGU
rnacentral:lncRNA from 11 species